ACCCUUGAGCUACGCCCGGAACGUUAUGGGUAGUUUAUUAUUAAUAAUGUGGACCUUAAUCAAACUCUUCAGGAAAAAUAAAGAUCUCAUUCGUCGAUGGUAAAUAGAUUGUGAAAUCUAAUCUCCUAGCUAGGAGAAGAUCGAGUCUGACGCGUUUUCCUGCAGUCUUUGACGCUAAUUAGAGGAUUCUGUGUAAAGGUGGGGCACUGUUAUAAGAAGAUAUGUCACGUAAAGAACCAAAGAAACACGUUUAUAACAAAUCACAGAGUUCCAUAAAUAAUGUCUGGAACAACGUGUCUUCAAAUUCUGACCAAUCAGCGCAAAGUGUGCAUCACAAAAGUCCCUGUAAAGUUAACCAAUUAGAUAAAGGACAUUCGAAAAAUGACAACCAAUCAGAGCGAAGGAAAGUGUCUGAACUGGUGGAACAUGUAGAACUUUUAUGACGACAGUGUGCGUCAGUCAAUUCUUUGGAAAAUAAUUUGGAAUUUUAUUUUAUUUUAAUACUUUGAUUUCUUAAAGGACUAAGAAAUGUUGCAAAACUUUACCUUAAUAUCUCGACAUACCUCUUGAAAAUUCUUCACUCCCAUUCGACAAACCUCGGCUGAUUCCGUCACCUUCAUCAGAGGUACGAAUCGGCCGAGGUGUGCCGAGUGUCUUCACUCCCAGUGCAAAGUCAUGCACUUCUAAGACAUUAUAGCAUCAGCUAGAACUCCAAAGCAACCGAUCAGUACUUCCGAUUAAGUAUUUCGCUAGAUGUUAGAAUUUGUACUUUUAUAUUAAUUUCAUGUUGGCAAGACAUAUUUUAAAAAUAGGAUUGACACUUUUCACGAAGAAAAUGCAAUAAAAGUAAAAGAUUUUGU